GGUACAGUCCCUGGCACGAGCAGACACUCAGCGUAUAUUUAGAAAGAAGGGAUGUUAUUUUGUUGUUUGAUGGUCCCAGCUGUCCUAUGAAGUAGAAGUGAAUGUGCCAUUUUACACGUGAGAAUCCUGGCUCUCCUUUGAGACUGACGGGGGACAACAUCCUUAAGAUUCUUAAAAGCUGCAUUGUUCGCUGAGAUGGCCUGUGCGCCACCCCUCAGGACUCCUGGAAGUACUGAUAGUGCCUUUGCUCGUCUUCACCUGCUCUGUGGCCCAGGAGACUGCUGGUUGAGUUCAGCCACCAGAUGACGCCAGCUGAAGGUCAGUGGGGGUGGUGGUGAAUGAAGUCACAGUGUUCAUUCCUCCAGCUCCCUCCCAGAAGCUGCCAAAAGCCUGACGGCAGGAAAGAUUUAUACUCAGUGCUUCAUACAUGCUCAAAAGAAAGGAAACCAUUUAAAAAUAAAUAUGUAAUAGUUAAAGA
rnacentral:lncRNA from 1 species